GUGGGAAGAGAUGAAAAAUACCUGCCACCAUGAGUCAGAAGUUAGAGCCAGAACAGCAGGUCAGAUGGCAGAAACACAGGCAGAAGGAGGCGAGUGUGAGGGGCAGUUUUCCUGCACAAUCCCUCUUCUUCUCUCAUCUGCUAAGAUGUGGGACAUCCCUUUCACCUUCUGCCAUGAUUGUGAGGUCUCCCCAACUACGUGGAACAGUUAUACAAGCUUGGCACAAACAUCUAUUUGGUUUCUGGAGAGACCUCAAGAAGCUGACAAUCAAGGCAGAAGGCAAAGAGGAGCCAGUGCAUCACAUGACAGAGUUCCACUCCUGUUGCCCAGGCUGGAGUGCAAUGAAUGGCACGAUCUCGGCUCACUGCAACCACCACCUCCCGGAUUCAAGCGAUUUUCCUGCCUCAGAAUCUAGAGCUGGGAUUACAGGCACCCACCACCACACCCAGCUAAUUUUUUGUAUUUUUAAUACAGACACAGUUUCACCAUGUUGGCCAGGCUGGUCUUGAACUCCUGACAGCAGGUAAUCUGCGGGGGAC
rnacentral:lncRNA from 13 species